AUUGAACGCUGGCGGCAUGAUUUACACAUGCAAGUCGAACGGUAACAGGCGGCGAUGUGCUGACUGGUGUCGGACGGGUGAGUAAUGCAUCGGAACGGGCCCAGUCGUUGGGGGUAACUACUCGAAAGAGUAGCUAAUACCUCAUACGGGCUAUGGAUUAGAGCGGGGUACCUUAAGGCCUCGCGCGAGUGUAGCUGCCGAUGUCAGAUUAGCUAGUUGGUGGGGUAAAGGCUCACCAAGCCAACGAUCUGUAGCUGGUCUGAGAGGACGACCAGCCACACUGGGACUGAGACACGGCCCAGACUCCUACGGGAGGCAGCAGUGGGGAAUUUUGGACAAUGGGCGAAAGCCUGAUCCAGCAAUGCCGCGUGAAGGAAGAAGGCCUUCGGGUUGUAAACUGCUUUUGUAAGGAAAGAACAGGCUCUGGUUAAUACCCGGGGAUAAUGACGGUACCGUAAGAAUAAGCAACGGCUAACUACGUG
rnacentral:rRNA from 1 species